rnacentral:rRNA from 1 species
UACGUAGGGUGCAAGCGUUGUCCGGAAUUAUUGGGCGUAAAGAGCUCGUAGGCGGUUUGUCGCGUCUGCUGUGAAGAUCCCGAGGCUCAACCUCGGGCCUGCAGUGGGUACGGGCAAACUAGAGUGCGGUAGGGGAGAUUGGAAUUCCUGGUGUAGCGGUGGAAUGCGCAGAUAUCAGGAGGAACACCGAUGGCGAAGGCAGAUCUCUGGGCCGUAACUGACGCUGAGGAGCGAAAGCGUGGGGAGCGAACAGG